GACGAACGCUGGCGGCGUGCCUAAUACAUGCAAGUAGAACGCACAGUUUAUACCGUAGCUUGCUCCACCAUAGACUGUGAGUUGCGAACGGGUGAGUAACGCGUAGGUAACCUGCCUGGUAGCGGGGGAUAACUAUUGGAAACGAUAGCUAAUACCGCAUAAUAUUAAUUAUUGCAUGAUAAUUAAUUGAAAGGUGCAAUUGCACCACUACCAGAUGGACCUGCGUUGUAUUAGCUAGUAGGUGAGGUAACGGCUCACCUAGGCGACGAUACAUAGCCGACCUGAGAGGGUGAUCGGCCACACUGGGACUGGGACACGGCCCAGACUCCUACGGGAGGCAGCAGUAGGGAAUCUUCGGCAAUGGACGAAAGUCUGACCGAGCAACGCCGCGUGAGUGAAGAAGGUUUUCGGAUCGUAAAGCUCUGUUGUAAGAGAAGAACGGGUGUGAGAGUGGAAAGUUCACACUGUGACGGUAUCUUACCAGAAAGGGACGGCUAACUACGUG
rnacentral:rRNA from 1 species